UACGUAGGUGGCAAGCGUUGUCCGGAUUUACUGGGUGUAAAGGGCGUGCAGCCGGAGAGACAAGUCAGAUGUGAAAUCCACGGGCUCAACCCGUGGACUGCAUUUGAAACUGUUUCCCUUGAGUGUCGGAGAGGUAAUCGGAAUUCCUUGUGUAGCGGUGAAAUGCGUAGAUAUAAGGAAGAACACCAGUGGCGAAGGCGGAUUACUGGACGAUAACUGACGGUGAGGCGCGAAAGCGUGGGGAGCAAACAGG
rnacentral:rRNA from 1 species